UACAAGACGUAACUCAUAAAACCACUAUUUGAAUUUAGAGCGUUAUCAAAUACGUCUGAUUAAAUUUAUUUAAAGUCUGCAUAGUUAAUUUACCAUUGUCUGAGUAUGAAUGACAAAGCUAAAAUCUUGGGAACGAGACAAAGAAUUAUAAAAGAAUGGGCGGAGUCUAAUGGUCACCAGUUUCUUAUAAAACCCUUGGCAAUGUCUGUUUAAGCGUUCGUAUGUCAUCACGUACGUAUUUUAGAAUCGAUCAUGGAACAUGUGACGUACUGGGUUACACGACAAAGCAAAACAAAACAUCUUUAUUAUGUCGUCUGGUCGACGUUUACCAACGUUUCAGAGGCCAUACUGCAACAACCCAGAAGAUAGAAAUCUUCAAUCUCACCGCUGUGAAAACUUAAAAUCUUACAACACAUAAACCUUAUUUGUUGUGAUUGUUUUAUGUGAACUAAGAAUAAUAUCGUAGUUUAAUUUGAUCCACAAGUGCAAUUUACCUAAUGAUGUUCUGGUUUGUGACGUCAUGCGGAUUAGUGGUUACAUAUCAGCGUUUCGUAGAAAUAUAUUCCUUCCAUCUUCAGGGACGGAGGUGAAGACGUGAAAUGGACCGACGAAGGAAGUGAUGGAUUGAAGAAUUUUAACAACCUCGGAACAAGAAAUUUUAUCCACUAAUUCUUAACCCCAGGACUAAACGCAACUUGAAGCUCAGUUUAACACUCAAAGAAAACGUCAUUUUACCCAUCGGAAAUGGAGAUUGACUGGGUCUCAAAGUAUACAAGAAUUCCAGGGAUCGAAUCCUUAUAUUCUGGCUCGCAACCAGACACACAAAUGACAUUAAGAUCUGAAAUAUAUUUAACUUAACAGUAGUCGUAUAUUGGCAACUAUGAAAUCAUGUUUGCUGCCCGCGAUCUGUAACACAACGAUUUCAUUCAGAACACGACUGAUUCUGCAAACAAACAUUGAGUCAUUGUGAUCUGAAUGCAUUGAAUAAACCAAGCAGACGAGAGUUUUGUUCA